rnacentral:rRNA from 1 species
UACGGGGGGAGCAAGCGUUGUUCGGAUUUACUGGGCGUAAAGGGCGCGUAGGCGGCCUCUGCAAGUCGACUGUGAAAUCUCCGGGCUUAACCCGGAAAGGUCAGCCGAUACUGCAGGGCUAGAGUGCAGAAGGGGCAACUGGAGUUCUCGGUGUAGCGGUGAAAUGCGUAGAUAUCGAGAGGAACACCUGCGGCGAAGGCGGGUUGCUGGGCUGACACUGACGCUGAAGCGCGAAAGCUAGGGGAGCGAACGGG